GCUGGGCAUGGUGGCGUGUACCUGUAGUCUCAGCUACUUGGAAGGCUGAGGCAGGUGGAUUGCUUGAGGCCAGGAGUUUGAGGCUGCAGUGAGCUAUCAUAGCACCACUGUGCUCCAGCCUGGGUGACAGAGUGAGACCCUGUCUCUU
ensembl:misc_RNA Metazoa_SRP Metazoan signal recognition particle RNA